rnacentral:sRNA from 1 species
AAGAUUGUAGUCACGGUUGCUUUUCCGUCUUCUAUGCCUAUAUAUUAUUAUAUUACGGUACAAAUGCAUGAAAGGUAUUGUGUGGGUUCAAUACGUCAUUUAUUAGGUCAUCAACCUUGGUCCAAUUUUUCCAGCCGUUGCUAUAUGUCUAUAUUUUGGGCCCUCUUGUCAAGUAGGAUGGUUUAUGUUUUAAAAGUUUGAUAGAAUCUAUUCAUAAAAGUCAACUACUAUCUGCUCUGUUUUUACUUGUCAUUUUAGAUAGUGACAUAGUCUUCGUUGCAUAUGUUUCAUCACUACUUUUUCUAUAUAAAAGCUAUUAAAUUAUAACUAUUUGAAAGUGUUUUUCAUGAAAAAUAUAUGUAUGAUUGGAGGGUCUAGUUGUAGAUGCAAGAUUUCAGAAACAUCAUUAUAUUACAGGCAGUAACUUCCCCGAGGAAAUAUGUAUCAACUCAACAACUAAAACCAAAUGUUGUGAAACAAACUGAAAAUUUACUCACAAGAAUGCAGCUGGAAAGUUCACCAUAUGCUUUUUAGUCGCACAUGCUAACAUGUGGGCCCCAGCUCUGUAAAUUCUCAUUUCAUUCCAGAACCCUACCCCCCUCCCCCUCCCUCCUAAUCAAACAGAGUCUACUAUAAUACUUCCUGUAUUAAUUUUAGAUUCUAGAAGAAUCAGUAGAAGAAAUGUAUGAAAUUUACUUUUAAACUGUCGAUUAAAUGGACUAUCGGGAUGUGUCGAGGUCAUCGAGUUGUGCGAGGUUUUCAUUUGGUUUCCUUGAGAUGCAUCAUGGUAGUAUAUGUUAUUUUUAGUUGUUGUUAAUUUGUUAUAAUUUCUUAUUGGGGAUGCUCAUAAAAAUUUGACCAUAGGGUGAUUUUGUUAGAAUUUCUAUUGAAUCUCAUUGAAUCUCAGACUCGGUAUUUUUAUAUGUGGGUGUGUAGCUUUCGAGGUCUAAGGAUAGAUGUUAUAUCAGAACCUAUAGUAGGCCACCGCACUUGUGAGCCAAGUGACUACAUAAUCGAAACAUAGAGAGUAAUACCAAAACACUUCCUUUGAAGAGAGAAAAAUAGUUCUGAUCAAAUUACCUUGUUUAUUGGGCACAAACCAAUGUAUUUGGUAUUUUCAUCCUCGUAGUAGAUAUGUUUCAUAAGGUUGCGCAGCGAUAUCUCCCUCAGCUUAUUAAAUGGCCAGACAUUAAAC